rnacentral:sRNA from 1 species
GAGGCUCCGAGCACAGCUACAGGCGCAG